CAUGCAAGUCGAACGAAGCUUGACGGAUGAUUUCUUCGGAAUGAAACCAGAUAUGACUUAGUGGCGGACGGGUGAGUAACACGUGAGCAACCUGCCUUUCAGAGGGGGAUAACGGCUGGAAACGGUCGCUAAUACCGCAUGAUGUGUUCGGAUGGCAUCAUCUGAACAUCAAAGAUUUAUCGCUGAAAGAUGGGCUCGCGUCUGAUUAGAUAGUUGGUGGGGUAACGGCCUACCAAGUCUACGAUCAGUAGCCGGACUGAGAGGUUGAACGGCCACAUUGGGACUGAGAUACGGCCCAGACUCCUACGGGAGGCAGCAGUGGGGAAUAUUGCACAAUGGGGGAAACCCUGAUGCAGCAACGCCGCGUGAAGGAUGACGGUUUUCGGAUUGUAAACUUCUUUUCUUAGUGACGAAGACAGUGACGGUAGCUAAGGAAUAAGCAUCGGCUAACUAUGUGCCAGCAGCCGCGGUAAUACGUAGGAUGCAAGCGUUAUCCGGAUUUACUGGGUGUAAAGGGAGCGCAGGCGGGACUGCAAGUUGGAUGUGAAAUACCGUGGCUUAACCACGGAACUGCAUCCAAAACUGUAGUUCUUGAGUGAAGUAGAGGCAAGCGGAAUUCCGAGUGUAGCGGUGAAAUGCGUAGAUAUUCGGAGGAACACCAGUGGCGAAGGCGGCUUGCUGGGCUUUAACUGACGCUGAGGCUCGAAAGUGUGGGGAGCAAACAGGAUUAGAUACCCUGGUAGUCCACACUGUAAACGAUGAUAGCUAGGUGUGGGGGGUCUGACCCCUUCCGUGCCGGAGUUAACGCAAUAAGCUAUCCACCUGGGGAGUACGACCGCAAGGUUGAAACUCAAAGGAAUUGACGGGGGCCCGCACAAGCAGUGGAUUAUGUGGUUUAAUUCGAAGCACGCGAAGAACCUUACCAGG
rnacentral:rRNA from 1 species